UAAAGCUGAUAACGAGGACACUGCAGUCAACAGGGCUGGAAGACUAGAAAGGUCUGUGUCUCUGGUCCCUCAUGCGGUGGAGAGAAGCCUGUAUUGUCCAGCCCCAUGUACAAUAUUCUACAUAAAUGCUACAUAGAUCUGGUUCAGAAAGUCCUCAAGCCUUCUGCAUCAUACCAGGAACCUGAGCCUCAGUAUUCAACGGCCUUAUCGACCUGACUACCAUCAGCUUGCACAACAAAACAGCUUGAAGCGUUUGCAAGUCAAGGCUCCUAGUCUGGUUGUCAAGGAAGAAAUCCUGUCAGUGUUGAAAGGUAACAACGACAUGGUAGAACACCAAGAGAAAGGAGCUCCGUCCCCUUCUUCAAAACGUGCCCCCGCAGUGCAACGCUUAAAAUGAAGCAAACAUACUGGAGUUUUUGUUUGUUUUAGCAUUUUCCUGUUAUUGAGAGUUUACAGUAUGUACAUAGUUUGGGUUGGAUUUUUGUCAUUGUUCUCCAAUUGGCUGUCAAACUUGAGUAGAGAUGCAACAAUGAAUCAAAUUUUAUUUUGAGAGCCUCAAUUUAAAUAUUCAUUGA